rnacentral:rRNA from 1 species
CCCCCAACCCCUAUCCACUAAAAAAGUUUUUAUUAAAGGGGGAAUUUAGCAAGAAAUAACAAUACAGGGCCUAACGGUCUUGUAAUUGGAAUGAGUGAAGUAUAAACCCCUUUACGAGUAUCAAUUGGAGGGCAAGUCUGGUGCCAGCAGCCGCGGUAAUUCCAGCUCCAAUAGCGUAUAUUAAAGUUGUUGCAGUUAAAAAGCUCGUAGUUGGAUUUCUGUUGUAUAAUUUAUAAUAUUACCAAGGUAAUUAUUAUAUUAUCAACAUCCUUCCUAUUAUAUUCUAAAUAUAUAGGAAAUUUUACUUUGAGAAAAUUAGAGUGCUUAAAGCAGGCAACUGCCUUGAAUACUCCAGCAUGGAAUAAUAAGUAAGGACUUUUGUCUUUCUUAUUGGUUCUAGGACAAAAGUAAUGGUUAAUAGGGACAGUUGGGGGCAUUCGUAUUUAACAGCCAGAGGUGAAAUUCUUAGAUUUGUUAAAGACGAACUACUGCGAAAGCAUUUGCCAAGGAUGUUUUCAUUAAUCAAGAACGAAAGUUAGGGGAUCGAAGACGAUCAGAUACCGUCGUAGUCUAACCAUAAUCAUGCCCAACGU